GACGAACGCUGGCGGCGUGCUUAACACAUGCAAGUCGAACGGUAAGGCCCUUUGGGGUACACGAGUGGCGAACGGGUGAGUAACACGUGGGUGAUCUACCCUGCACUUCGGGAUAAGCCUGGGAAACUGGGUCUAAUACCGGAUAGGACCACUGCCUGCAUGGGUGGGGGUGGAAAGCUUUUGCGGUGUGGGAUGGGCCCGCGGCCUAUCAGCUUGUUGGUGGGGUGAUGGCCUACCAAGGCGACGACGGGUAGCCGGCCUGAGAAGGUGACCGGCCACACUGGGACUGAGAUACGGCCCAGACUCCUACGGGAGGCAGCAGUGGGGAAUAUUGCACAAUGGGCGCAAGCCUGAUGCAGCGACGCUGCGUGAGGGAUGACGGCCUUCGGGUUGUAAACCUCUUUCAGCACAGACGAAGCGCAAGUGACGGUAUGUGCAGAAGAAGGACCGGCCAACUACGUGCCAGCCGCCGCCGUAA
rnacentral:rRNA from 1 species